UGAGGAAUAUUGGGCAAUGCCCGCAAGGGUGACCCAGCAACGCCGCGUGGAGGAUGAAUGUCGUAAGAUUGUAAACUCCUGUUAGAGGGGAAGAAUAGUACCGGUUGGACCGGUAUAUGACUGUACCCUCAGAGAAAGCCCCGGCUAACUACGUGCCAGCAGCCGCGGUAAUACGUAGGGGGCAAGCGUUGUCCGGAUUUACUGGGUGUAAAGGGCGCGCAGGCGGGAUAAAAAGUCAGUGGUGAAAUCCUACAGCUUAACUGUAGGACUGCCUUUGAUACUUGUAUUCUUGAGUUCGGGAGAGAGAGACGGAAUUCCAGGUGUAGUGGUGAAAUACGUAGAUAUCUGGAAGAACACCAGUUGCGAAGGCGGUCUCUUGGUCCGACACUGACGCUGAGGCGCGAAAGCGUGGGGAGCAAACA
rnacentral:rRNA from 1 species